UUUCGUUUUACCUGCAUCACUGGGUUUAUGCUUGAACUAUGGAUUUUUUUUAUAACUGUACAGUGAUUUGUUAGCUGUUAAUAUUCAUUUUUUUUUCAAACUUUCAGAUAUUAUUGUGUCUGGUUCUAGAGAUGGAUCCUUUCGUAUUUGGGACUUGAGAUGCAAGUCCACUGCUAAGAGUAGGCGGAGAGAAGUUAACAUAUGUUCAAUGGGUGGUGUCAACGGAGCACAUGUUUCAUCUCAAGCACGACGAACUAGAAGGGGAAAGGUUAGUUUCUGAGGAUCUAGGUUCCUUUGUAUAUUGCAAACUAAAUUUUUCCAACAAUUCUUAAUUGUCAGGCUGUUUCCAUGAGCAUUACGUCUGUUCUUUGUCUCAAGGACCAGGUUUCCGUAGCAACUGCUGGUGCAGUGGAUAGGUUAGUUGGAAAAUUCAUAUUAGUGAACAUUUGAUUUUCCAGUGUUUUUACCUGAAUUGAUAGGUUUGACUAAUGAAUUGAUUUAUUUCAGCGUGUUGAAGUUUUGGGAUACCAGAAAUUUGAAAAAUAGUGUUACUCAGACGUGUCCAUGUCCUCAGUCAACUGAAAAGCAAAGUUUGCACGGAAUAUGUAGUUUGUCACAAGAUGAAAGUGGACUUUUUCUUUCGGCUUCCUGCAUGGAUAACCGGUAUCAUCUUCUUUCUUCUAAGUUAAGAAU